rnacentral:tRNA from 2 species
GCCUGGAUAGCUCAGUCGGCAGAGCAUACCCUUGGUAAGGGUAAGGUCGUGGGUCCAAUUCCCACUCCAGGCU